rnacentral:lncRNA from 1 species
CGUUGACCUCCCUGAACUCCCGAAACAAUGGUGCAAAUUGUCCCUCGCGUUAAACGGCUGUUUAACGCCGUUUAACUUAUUUUUUUUUUAAACAACUCUCUAUCUCUCUAUCUCUCUCUCUUCCACUGGCUCAGAUGGUCGUCGCCCCUCAAUUGCGCCGCGGCAAAGGCGCCGCCAUCGCGACUCAGGAAACCGCUCAAAUUUGACUAAAAAUCUAUAUCUCCAAAAAUUUCUACCGUUACUCGACUUCUCACCUUUCUUCUCCUAAAAUUCUCUGCCAACAACAGAGCACAAGUUGUCACCGCUUCUUCCCUAAACAGCCCCCAAUAUUCCAUCAAAACAGGUUGUCAGUCUGAAGUCCCCAAAACCGUCGUAUUCACCAUCAUAUUUUCUUUCUCUCUCUAGAAAAAUACACUAGAAAAAUAUCCAUUAAACCUGCACCGCUAAUCUCUUCAAAAAAAAUGGUGAAUAUCAUCUCUUAGACACGGCCACUCUCAUGAAUUCCCUUUAUUUCCACUCAAUCCAUCAAUCUAAUAGAAAAUAAAAGAUCUAAAAUUUGAAAUCACAAAAUUGUAGCCUACCACCAUCACCGGUGCCUCCCCAAAAUCGGUGGUUAAUCGCCGUCGUUCUCUGCCAAAAUUCUAAAGCACCAUUGCUCGAAGCUAUACAACCAUAUUCUGGAAGACUCCCUAAAAAAACAACCACGGCUCAGAGAGAGCAUCGUUCUUUCUCUUUCGAAUUCCCCAGCAAUCUUCUCAGUCCAAAUAUGUGAUCAUCGCCGGCGAGUCGGACUCCGUCGUGAAAGGUGUGAUGCUAUUUCCAGAAC